rnacentral:tRNA from 1 species
GCCGAUGCGCCGCGCGGCGGCGGCCUGCGGCUGGCCGUCGAGGGCCUGGGCCAGGGUCUGGGCCUGCAGGUUCAGCGCCUGCACCGGCU